rnacentral:rRNA from 1 species
UACGUAGGGUGCAAGCGUUAAUCGGAAUUACUGGGCGUAAAGCGUGCGCAGGCGGUUAUGUAAGACAGGUGUGAAAUCCCUCGGCUUAACCGGGGAACUGCGUCUGAUACUGGAUGGCUUGAGGUUGGGAGAGGGAUGCGGAAUUCCAGGUGUAGCGGUGAAAUGCGUAGAUAUCUGGAGGAACACCGGUGGCGAAGGCGGCAUCCUGGACCAAUUCUGACGCUGAGGAGCGAAAGCCAGGGGAGCAAACGGG